GAUGAACGCUGGCGGCGUGCCUAAUACAUGCAAGUCGAGCGAACGGACGAGAAGCGUGCUUCUCUGAUGUUAGCGGCGGACGGGUGAGUAACACGUGGAUAACCGACCUAUAAGACUGGGAUAACGUCGGGAAACCGGAGCUAAUACCGGAUAAUAUUUUGAACGGCAGGGUUCAAAAGUGAAAGACGUUCUUGCUGUCACUUAUACAUGGAUCCGCGCUGCAUUAGCUAGUUGGUAGGGUAACGGCUUACCAAGGCGACGAUGCAUAGCCGACCUGAGAGGGUGAUCGGCCACACUGGAACUGAGACACGGUCCAGACUCCUACGGGAGGCAGCAGUAGGGAAUCUUGCGCAAUGGGCGAAAGCCUGACGGAGCAACGCCGCGUGGGUGAUGAAGGUCUUCGGAUCGUAAAACUCUGUUAGUAGGGAAGAACGUAUGUGUAAGUAGCUGUGCACGUCUUGACGGUACCUACACAGAAAGCCCCGGCUAACUACGUG
rnacentral:rRNA from 1 species